ACGAAGGGUGCAAGCGUUACUCGGAAUUACUGGGCGUAAAGCGUGCGUAGGUGGUUCGUUAAGUCGGAUGUGAAAUCCCAGGGCUCAACCCUGGGCCUGCAUUCGAUACGGGCAGACUAGAGUAUGGCAGGGGAGACUGGAAUUCCUGGUGUAGCGGUGAAAUGCGCAGAUAUCAGGAGGAACACCGAUGGCGAAGGCAGGUCUCUGGGCAUUUACUGACGCUGAGGAGCGAAAGCAUGGGGAGCGAACAGGA
rnacentral:rRNA from 1 species